UACGUAGGGUGCGAGCGUUAAUCGGAAUUACUGGGCGUAAAGCGCAUGUAGGUGGUUACAUAAGUUUGAUGUGAAAGCCCCGGGCUUAACCUGGGAAUGGCGUUGAAGACUGUGUGACUAGAGUCGGACAGAGGGUCGUGGAAUUUCCGGUGUAGCGGUGAAAUGCGUAGAGAUCGGAAAGAACACCAGUGGCGAAGGCGGCGACCUGGGUCCAGACUGACACUGAGGUGCGAAAGCAUGGGGAGCAAACAGG
rnacentral:rRNA from 1 species